rnacentral:rRNA from 1 species
UACAGAGGGUGCAAGCGUUGUUCGGAAUUAUUGGGCGUAAAGGGCGCGUAGGCGGCCGCGUAUGUCCGGUGUGAAAGCCCACCUCUUAAAGGUGGAAUUGCAUCGGAAACUACGUGGCUGGAGUGUCGGAGAGGAUGGUGGAAUUCCCGGUGUAGAGGUGAAAUUCGUAGAUAUCAGGAGGAACACCGGUGGCGAAGGCGGCCAUCUGGACGACUACUGACGCUGAGGCGCGAAAGCUAGGGGAGCAAACAGG